rnacentral:tRNA from 1 species
CAUAUAAUGCCCGAGAAUUAGGGUUUAUCUUGAUGGGAUAAAGACGCUGGAGUCUACCAGCUUAUAUGA